AAUUAAUAUACAUUUAUUUUUAACAAAUGUGUGUAUGUUAUUAAUAAAAAAUAUUAUAGAUACGAAUAAUUAAGCUUGAAUUAUAAAUUAAUCUAACUUUUCUAUGCAAAUAUUUUACUGAGGUCUAGCCCAAACGUCGCGCUUGUAAUGAUAUUAGAGAGGUUAAGAUACCACGGUUCCGGUUCACGGGUACGAGUAUCGCCAUUUUGUUUACCAAUUUUUGCUGUCAUCAUUUUUACCCGUAAUUUAGUACCCGUUUCCCCGCGGUAAACCAUGGUCUACACGUAAAAGACAAACGGGUACGGUGUUUUCCGUUUACUAUUUGUUGGUCGUUUAAAUAGUAAAAAGCGUCAACAUCUUACCCAAAUAAAUAAUUAGGGAUGUGCCGGAUACUGUCUUGCCGGAUACUGUUUUGCCGGAUAGUAGUCUACCGGAUACCGGUCAGGAGAAAAUGAUGACCGGAUACCGGAUAAUAACCGGAUACUCCCAUACAAUAAUUUAUUAGAAACACAACAUUUUUGUAACUUAAUUAACUAGUCCAAUGUACCAAUGUGUUCAAUACACAUUUUUUGUCUCUUUGACCUAUUUGUCUUUACCAAGGCCAUAUCUUAUGAUUCACCUUACAUUGUUUACUGCAUGGUAUUCAGUAUAUAAAAUUCACUGCUGUUGGCGAAAGAGCAGUUCACAUCACCAUCACGAAAAAAAAUGUCGUAAUUUCGUCGUAAUGCAGCGCACGCUCAGUAAUUGUUCGUGUUUCACAAUUUUUAAACGCCCAGUAAAUUUUUCCGUUUCAUGGUUGUAACAAAAUAUCUUACAGUACUAUCCGGUAAAUAUCCGGCAAAUUUAUACCGGAUACCGGAUAGUGCCGGAUGUCUAAAUUUUACCGGAUAUCGGAUACCGGUAUCCGGCACAUCCCUAUAAAUAAUGCACAUAUCCUCGUCCAAGUUUUCAACAAUCUAUGGCGAACUUGAACAGCGAAAGUUACCAUUCUCUGACGGUUUUCUCACGGCGGAAUAUCUUGGAUUUCUUAAGUGACAAGUCGUUCCCCGAUUGACGGAUACGUGUAUAGCACCCAUACCCGUAACCGAGGUAUCUUAACUUCUCUAUUAUUUGCUUAUCUGUCGCUAUUUCCCUUUUCAUGUUAUGGAAAAAUCAUUUAUGGUAUUGAUAUUUCAAAAACAAUCUUCAGCGAUGUUUCCUGCCCAACUGUGGCACAGGAUGUUAAAGACACGCAGCUAUAUAGCGCGUAAAGUAUCUGUUCUCUUGUGAAUACAGCUAUGGUAGUAACCGUAGUAUUAAAUUGACACUCAUAACGAUUAGGUAAACGACGGAACCUCGACGUAUAAUUGUCGAAAACUUAACAUAUUAAAUAUUCAACAUACUCUCAAGAAAUUGCCCACUAAUAGCAGUUGUGGAAUAGAUAGUAGCGAGGUUUAGCAAAGACGACGCGACGUCAAAG